rnacentral:rRNA from 1 species
AAUGAACGUUGGCGGCGUGGAUUAGGCAUGCAAGUCGAGCGAAUCCCCGCAAGGGGGGAAGCGGCGAAAGGGGCAGUAAGGCGUGGGUAACCUACCCCGGGGACUGGUAUAGCCCUUCGAGAGAAGGGGUAAUCCCGGGCGACGUGGCGAGGGGGCAUCCCCUGGCCACCAAAUGAGUUUCGCCCCGGGAGGGGCCCACGUGGUAUUAGCUAGUUGGUGGGGUAACGGCUCACCAAGGCGAAGAUGCCUAGCGGGUGUGAGAGCACGACCCGCGCCACUGGCACUGAGACACUGGCCAGACACCUACGGGUGGCUGCAGUCGAGGAUCUUCGGCAAUGGGCGCAAGCCUGACCGAGCGACGCCGCGUGGGCGAUGAAGGCCUUCGGGUUGUAAAGCCCUGUCGAGGGGGAGAAAGUGGCAACUUGAUCUAUCCCUGGAGGAAGCACGGGCUAAGUUCGUGCCAGCAGCCGCGGUAACAC